UACGAGAGGCCCAAACGUUAUUCGGAAUUACUGGGCUUAAAGAGUUCGUAGGCGGCGCAGAAAGUAGGGUGUGAAAGCCCUCGGCUCAACCGAGGAAUUGCGCUCUAAACUACUGUGCUUGAGGAACCUAGAGGUGAGCAGAACAGAUGGUGGAGCGGUGAAAUGCGUUGAUAUCAUCUGGAAUACCGGAGGCGAAGGCGGCUCACUGGGGGUUUUCUGACGCUGAGGAACGGAAAGCCAGGGUAGCGAACGGG
rnacentral:rRNA from 1 species